GGUGAACGCUGGCGGUGGGCCUAAUACAUGCAAGUCGAGCGGACGGACGAUGAGCGUUCGCCCCUGCGGGUGGCGGGUGGCGGGCGGGUGAGGCAUAGAUCAGCAUCUUCUUUUUCGUGGGGGAUAUCGUGGAGACACUGCCGAUACUACCGCAUACGACCUACGGGAUAAUGCAAGGGUUCAUGGCGGUUUUCGCGAUUGUAUGAGCUGGCGUCGGAUUAGCUAGUUGGCAAGGUAACGGCACACCAAGGCAACGAUGCGUAGCUGGUCUGAGAGGAUGAUCGGCCACACUGGAACUGAGACACGGUCCAGACUCCUACGGGAGGCAGCAGUAGGGAAUCUUGCGCAAUGGGCGCAAGCCUGACGCAGCCACGCCGCGUGAGUGAUGAAGGCCUUCGGAUUGUAAAGCCCUGUUAUUAGGAAAGAAAAGCUGUGGGUGUAACCACGGCUGUCCUGACGGUACCCAAAGAGAAAGCACCGGCUAACCUCGUG
rnacentral:rRNA from 1 species